GUUUGAUCCUGGCUCAGGAUGAACGCUAGCGGCAGGCUUAACACAUGCAAGUCGAGGGGUAUAGUUCUUCGGAACUAGAGACCGGCGCACGGGUGCGUAACGCGUAUGCAAUCUACCUUUUACAGAGGGAUAGCCCAGAGAAAUUUGGAUUAAUACCUCAUAGCAUAGCAGUUUCGCAUGAAACCACUAUUAAAGUCACAACGGUAAAAGAUGAGCAUGCGUCCCAUUAGCUAGUUGGUAAGGUAACGGCUUACCAAGGCUACGAUGGGUAGGGGUCCUGAGAGGGAGAUCCCCCACACUGGUACUGAGACACGGACCAGACUCCUACGGGAGGCAGCAGUGAGGAAUAUUGGACAAUGGGCGCAAGCCUGAUCCAGCCAUGCCGCGUGCAGGAUGACGGUCCUAUGGAUUGUAAACUGCUUUUGUACGAGAAGAAACACUCCUAUGUAUAGGAGCUUGACGGUAUCGUAAGAA
rnacentral:rRNA from 1 species